rnacentral:rRNA from 1 species
GACGAACGCUGGCGGCGUGCCUAAUACAUGCAAGUAGAACGCUGAAGAGAGGAGCUUGCUCUUCUUGGAUGAGUUGCGAACGGGUGAGUAACGCGUAGGUAACCUGCCUGGUAGCGGGGGAUAACUAUUGGAAACGAUAGCUAAUACCGCAUAAAAUGGAUUAUCGCAUGAUAAUCCAUUGAAAGGUGCAAAUGCAUCACUACCAGAUGGACCUGCGUUGUAUUAGCUAGUUGGUGGGGUAACGGCUCACCAAGGCGACGAUACAUAGCCGACCUGAGAGGGUGCUCGGCCACACUGGGACUGAGACACGGCCCAGUCUCCUACGGGAGGCAGCAGUAGGGAAUCUUCGGCAAUGGACGGAAGUCUGACCGAGCAACGCCGCGUGAGUGAAGAAUGUUUUCGGAUCGUAAAGCUCUGUUGUAAGAGAAGAACGAGUGUGAGAGUGGAAAGUUCACACUGUGACGGUAUCUUACCAGAAAGGGACGGCUAACUACGUG